GUCGAGGGGUAGAAGCAGCUUGCUGCUUUGAGACCGGCGCACGGGUGCGUAAUGCGUAUACAAUCUACCUUUUACAGAGGGAUAGCCCAGAGAAAUUUGGAUUAAUACCUCAUAGUAUUUUCGAAUCGCAUGAUUUGAUUAUUAAAGUUCCAACGGUAAAAGAUGAGUAUGCGUCCCAUUAGCUAGAUGGUAAGGUAACGGCUUACCAUGGCAACGAUGGGUAGGGGUCCUGAGAGGGAGAUCCCCCACACUGGUACUGAGACACGGACCAGACUCCUACGGGAGGCAGCAGUGAGGAAUAUUGGACAAUGGGCGCAAGCCUGAUCCAGCCAUGCCGCGUGCAGGAAGACGGUCCUAUGGAUUGUAAACUGCUUUUAUACAGGAAGAAACACCUCUACGUGUAGAGACUUGACGGUACUGUAUGAAUAAGCAUCGGCUAACUCCGUGCCAGCAGCCGCGGUAAUACGGAGGAUGCAAGCGUUAUCCGGAAUCAUUGGGUUUAAAGGGUCCGUAGGCGGCCAAAUAAGUCAGUGGUGAAAGCCCAUCGCUCAACGAUGGAACGGCCAUUGAUACUGUUUGGCUUGAAUUAUUAGGAAGUAACUAGAAUAUGUAGUGUAGCGGUGAAAUGCUUAGAGAUUACAUGGAAUACCAAUUGCGAAGGCAGGUUACUACUAAUAUAUUGACGCUGAUGGACGAAAGCGUGGGGAGCGAACAGGAUUAGAUACCCUGGUAGUCCACGCCGUAAACGAU
rnacentral:rRNA from 1 species